AGUGAACGCUGGCGGUAGGCCUAACACAUGCAAGUCGAACGGCAGCACAGUAAGAGCUUGCUCUUGCGGGUGGCGAGUGGCGGACGGGUGAGGAAUACAUCGGAAUCUACUUUUUCGUGGGGGAUAACGUAGGGAAACUUACGCUAAUACCGCAUACGACCUACGGGUGAAAGCAGGGGAUCUUCGGACCUUGCGCGAUUGAAUGAGCCGAUGUCGGAUUAGCUAGUUGGCGGGGUAAAGGCCCACCAAGGCGACGAUCCGUAGCUGGUCUGAGAGGAUGAUCAGCCACACUGGAACUGAGACACGGUCCACACUCCUACGGGAGGCAGCAGUGGGGAAUAUUGGACAAUGGGCGCAAGCCUGAUCCAGCCAUACCGCGUGGGUGAAGAAGGCCUUCGGGUUGUAAAGCCCUUUUGUUGGGAAAGAAAAGCAGCAGGUUAAUACCCCGCUGUUCUGACGGUACCCAAAGAAUAAGCACCGGCUAACUUCGUG
rnacentral:rRNA from 1 species